GUUAAGAACGUUUUCCAGGGCGGAGCUCCUGGGGUACCAAAGUUGAGGAGGCAUUCACUCUCAGCCUGCUCCUGAGAGCAGAUGCCUCUUUAAAUUUUGCACCCCAGGUGCCUCAUUGCCUCACCCUAGACUAGACCCUGCGGCUUUCUCCCACCUGGAAAUAAAACUUCCUGCCUUGGCCUCUCCUGUGAUCUGUCUUUGUGGGCAGUCUAUUUGUUUGCACCUCAGUGUCCCAGGUCUCUCUUCUAUACCUCAGGGAACAAUGAAGAGAUCACAAGGCAACAGCAGGUGGUUUAGAGAGGAAAAGUCAUUCCCAGGACUGUCACUUGUUGAGAAGACAGUAGAAUCCACAUAACCAAAUCAGCUAAAAACUGGAGCUCCCAGCGAUCAGAGCAAAGAGAAAAGUGUGAGGGCACUGCUAACAGGAUUUGUGGAAAUUGCUUCUGGCAAAACUAAAGAAGAUGUGAAUGCAACGCCCAUUUGAAUAGAUUCAAAAAUGUCUGCUUGCAUUUGUACCUCUUUUCCUUCUCAAAUGUCUAUUUCAGCCUGUACAACAGUAGUUUUUUUUCUGCUCAGUAGUAAGUGACCUUAAUUUCAUAAUAUGUAUGAUGUUCUUUCUCCUGAGAUAGCCACUGACAAAGUUAUUUUCUAUUUGUCCAUUAUAAUUUGCACCACCCUGUCUGCACUGAGUGAUCCAGGCCACUGGGCCAACACUGGCAGAAAGAAUUAUCAUCACAAUUCUGUUGUUUGAAUGUUCCCAGUAUUCAAAUGCCCUAAUAAAUGACACUCUACUAUGUUUUAAAGACUAUAAAGGGUUUUUGAAAGAGUUGGGAUUUUUUGUUUUGUUUUGUUUUGGUUUGUUUUUUUCUAUAGCACAGAAGAUUAAAAAAGAGAAUGCGGGAUUAAAGUAGGAGAGAUUUCUAUUGAACAUAAAGAAAAACUUUCAGACUGCUAGAAUAAAAAGUACCAGAAUGGAUUAUUGAGGAAGAAUGCCUGAUCUUUUGUCAGGCACGCCAUAAGAAAAGAUGAACUUUCUAAAAGUGGAAGACUAGGUCAGAUACCUUCUCAUACUCCUUUCUAGUUCUGUGGUUUUAUGAUUGUAAGACUAAUAUCUCAUCAGAAUUCUCUUGGCUUCUCUUGUUUUCAUUUAUAUCAUUCUGUGUCUCUCUUAUCUGUCAUUGAUUGAUGUCCUUGGCCAA